rnacentral:rRNA from 1 species
CGGAUUUGGCGGCAAGAUAGCUUUUUAGAGGAACCUGCCCUGUGAACGAUGAUCCACGAGAGCCUUACUUUAUUUUGAAAUCAGUUUGUAUACCGCUGUUGUCAGUUAGAUUUUUGAGAAUAUUUUCUUUUUGGUAAAGCCAAUGACUUCAAGUAAAGGUGCAGCUUAUAGUAAAGUUAGAGGUGGGUUACAUUUAUAAGAAUAAGACGGAUUAAGGAUUUAAUUGACCUUAUGAAGGUGGAUUUAACCGUAAAAUUGAAUUAGAUUUGGUGAUAGCUCUAUCUUGUGUACACACCGCCCGUC